GUCAUUCCAACAAGUUGACUAGUAGCGCUCAGUCAAUUUCCAUCCAUUAGAUCCUCAUGCUGUCAAAAGCAUAAAACACAUGUUUGAAGCACACAUAUAGUGGAAUACCAAUGUGCCGAGAUAAGGAUCUUUUCUGAAUCUUGAAAGUUUGGUGGCGUACCCUGAAACAUCAUGUUUAUUGUUAUGGCUGUUUUUACUUUGGUUUAGAAGGCAACCCAGCUAAGAGUUAGGUAGAGUUUUAUUUCUUACAG